AGUGGGGAAUAUUGCACAAUGGGCGCAAGCCUGAUGCAGCAACGCCGCGUGAGGGACGACGGCCUUCGGGUUGUAAACCUCUUUUAGUAGGGAAGAAGCGAAAGUGACGGUACCUGCAGAAAAAGCACCGGCUAACUACGUGCCAGCAGCCGCGGUAAUACGUAGGGUGCAAGCGUUAUCCGGAAUUAUUGGGCGUAAAGAGCUCGUAGGCGGUUUGUCGCGUCUGCUGUGAAAACUGGAGGCUCAACCUCCAGCCUGCAGUGGGUACGGGCAAACUAGAGUGCGGUAGGGGAGAUUGGAAUUCCUGGUGUAGCGGUGGAAUGCGCAGAUAUCAGGAGGAACACCGAUGGCGAAGGCAGAUCUCUGGGCCGUAACUGACGCUGAGGAGCGAAAGCAUGGGGAGCGAA
rnacentral:rRNA from 1 species